GGAACUUUAGUUGUGGGAGGAAGAAGCCAGUUCCUUGCUAUUUUUAGGUAUACGAUUAGAAAUCGGAGGGUUUAAGGUUAUGCACUUGCUUUGGAUGUGACUGCCAGAGAAAUUCAAGCUUCUACUAAGGUAAUUAUCAAUAAUUUGAUUGUUUAAUGCGAUCAAACGUGGUAGUGAAAUGUUAAAUUUGAUGGCUACAAGUUUCUAAUUAGAAUGCUAAUGCUGCAAUUCAUGAUGAUCAAUAUGUUCUGACUUAAACAGUUACUGCAAAUGUAUCGUUGCUUUGUGAUGAAUAAGUUAUCUUUUUCAUAUAAGACUUUUUGUUUCUGGAUACUAAGUCUAAAAUAAAGAUUUCAGAGCAAAACGUUGAUCGAGUAUAAGUGAGUUGUGAUUUUGUAGUUUUUAUAUGUUUCCAGAUAAAAGUUAGGAUCUGCAGAGAUUAGAAAGUGAAAAAGGGCAAAGGAAAGUGAUGCUGACUCAUGAAAGAUGGUUCAAAUCUCUGUUGGAGGUACAUUAGAUUUAUGUUUCUGAAGUGUUAAGUACAUUGUUAGGACUACAGAUUUGGAUUGAACUCAAUGUUCUCACUGUGUAUAUUUAAAUAUAUGUGUGUGUAUAGAUGUGUGUGUGUGAAUAUAUGUGUGUAUAUAUAGAUUUAUACAUAAAAGGGAAGAUGGAUGGAUAGGUGUAUGCUUACUCCGUAAAAGAAGAAGAGAAAACGAAAACCACACCAAACAACUGGCAUUUAAAGCUCUUUUUCUUUUUCUCUUUUGAAAUAAAUCUCUCUCUUUGUUAGAUUGUUAGGGGGCUGCACUGUGUGAGGGCCAUGUAUGUUUUAUUACGGUCGUAUCUAUAGUUUUGGGAACUGGAGAAAAGAAGUGGAACAAACCAUUUGCAUGGCAGAGGCCGACUUGAUUAUUUCUCAAAUUUGUAG
rnacentral:lncRNA from 1 species